GUAUGACGUGAUGUUAUCAUCUUUCGGGACUGACCUGCAAUGGAGAGAAUUACUUGGCUGAUCAUAC